CCACCCCUCACUCCCAACCCCUGUGCCUGCCUCCUUCGGCCCCUUGGUCCCUCGGAAAGCUUCCAGACCCCGGCCUCAUUCAGAACAUGCCGAACAAUCAUGGGACGCUGGACCAGGAGACGCAACGGUGAGCAAUGAGAGAGGGUUUUCCCCUCACACGCAGCCACACUUGUUCCGAUACCAGGUCCCAGAGGAAGACUGCGUCCCAUUGGGGCAGAAAUUCAGAGUCCAUGGCGACGAGCAAUUUUAAUUGUCUUUUAUCCUAUUGAACGGACAAGUCUAUCCCUAAUCCUCUCUCUCCCUCCUGUCCCCCAACAUUAAAAGCAAACAUGAUUUU